rnacentral:rRNA from 1 species
CAAUAGCAUAUAUUAAAGUUGUUGCAGUUAAAAAGCUCGUAGUUGGAUUUCUGGAUUUUGCUUAUUGAUGCCACCGGCGGAUUUAAGCGAUCCAUUAGCCUGAAUUUCAGGCCAUUACUGUGAGAAAAUUAGAGUGUUUCAAGCAAGUUGUUGUUGGAAUACAUUAGCAUGGAAUAAUAUCAAACUUCUAGAAUGUUGGUUAGGUUCUAGAGUGUGAUUAAUAGGGAUAGUUGGGGCAUUAGUAUUUAAUUGUCAGAGGUGAAAUUCUUGGAUUUUUUAAAGACUAACUUAUGCGAAAGCAUUUGCCAAGGAUGUUUNCACUA